AGGCACACGUAACAACUACAUUCAAACUAGAGCUGUAUGAAUUUGUUUGGACAGGGGACCACAAACAGGGGAGUUUGAGAUGGGGAGAAGGCAAUCCCCCUGCUGAAUGAACAAGGUGCAGGGCAAGUGGCAAAUAAGGAUUGAGUUCCUGUGGGCAGAAGAGAAUAAGGAGGGAGGACUUCAUAUGAACUCUAGAAGCCAUAGCUGCUGACAAAGUAAACAUGGUGGAGGAAGAGCAAAGAAGAGCAAAGCAUUUUCAGCAAUUGGUGAAUCGUUCUGAUAAAUUCAUGGAAAGAGUUAAUGGUUCAUUGUUCCAGACAAGCUGACUCUCCUGAGACCAGGUAAUUAAAACACUGUAGAAAUUUCCAAAGAGGAGAACCAGAUUGGGCCCCUCCUGGAGAGGAAGGAUGGAGAGGAGAGCUGAACAAGGGAGUUUAUACUCUGACUGGCCCUGCAGAGAAAGGGGAGCAGGAAGUUCUAGGAAGCUGCCAAAAAGGUGGAGGAACCACUGAAGAGAGGCCCUUCAGCAGCAGCCUGGUGAGAGGCUGCCUAAGAAGCUGGACCUCCAGGAGAAGAGGAUCAUAGGACCUGUGUGUUGUAUCAAUCAGGCAAGGCCUGUUCCAAAGCUCAGUGGAGUCUUUCCAUUGAUGUGAGUGGCACUGAAAUCAGCUGUAGCAUACACCAGUCAGUGACAAUUCAGGGUUAUGCAUAACUCUGAUCAUACUUACUUUUUUUGCCAUGAAAAUGUAAAAAGGAACUUUAAUGAAAAUUCAAGAAUUUUAAUGAAGGCACAACAUUUUUUCCUCCUCAAUUGCAAGGAGGAAAAAAAGUAAAAAUGGUUGGAGAAGAAGGGAAGAAAUGUGACUUCAGAAGAAAUCUCAACGUUUUAGAUGUUUGUUACUGGCCACAAUUUGUUGCUCACAUUCAUCUGUGAAAACAGUUAAUCUAUAAAUAUCACCUUUCUUUCCUGUGUUAAAGAAAAAAAAUUUCAAGGCAAAGCUGCAACAUGUUUUGCUUUUCUUUUAAACUAGUGAAAACAUGACAACAGAAAUCACAUUUUUUCCCCAAAUAAUUCUAGUUAUGCGUCCCUUUAAAGGUGUGAGGGGAGCCAGAGCAACUCUUUGCUAAAAUUUUCAUCCAAGUGCUUUCAUCCAAGAAGAAACUUUUGAACUGGAUAAGUUUUAAUGAUGUUCUAAAUUUACAACAGCUAUG